UCGAGGAUCUUCGGCAAUGGGCGCAAGCCUGACCGAGCGACGCCGCGUGCGCGAUGAAGGCCUUCGGGUUGUAAAGCGCUGUCGAGGGGGAGAAAGCCGCAAGGUUGAUCGACCCCUGGAGGAAGGACGGGCUAAGUUCGUGCCAGCAGCCGCGGUAAGACGAACCGUCCUAACGUUAUUCGGAUUCACUGGGCUUAAAGGGCGCGUAGGCGGUUUACCAAGUCCGGGGUGAAAUCUUUCGGCUUAACCGGAAAAGUGCCUUGGAUACUGGUGAACUUGAGGGAGGUAGGGGCAUGUGGAACUUCCGGUGGAGCGGUGAAAUGCGUUGAUAUCGGAAGGAACGCCGGUGGCGAAAGCGACGUGCUGGCCCUCUUCUGACGCUGAGGCGCGAAAGCUAGGGGAGCAAACGGGAUUAGAUACCCCCGUAGUCC
rnacentral:rRNA from 1 species